rnacentral:rRNA from 1 species
UACGGAGGGUGCAAGCGUUAUCCGGAUUCACUGGGUUUAAAGGGUGCGUAGGUGGGCAGGUAAGUCAGUGGUGAAAUCUCCGGGCUUAACCCGGAAACUGCCAUUGAUACUAUUUGUCUUGAAUACUGUGGAGGUUAGCGGAAUAUGUCAUGUAGCGGUGAAAUGCUUAGAUAUGACAUAGAACACCAAUUGCGAAGGCAGCUGGCUACACAAUUAUUGACACUGAGGCUCGAAAGCGUGGGGAUCAAACAGG